rnacentral:rRNA from 1 species
UACGUAGGGACCGAGCGUUGUCCGGAAUCAUUGGGCGUAAAGAGCGUGUAGGCGGCUUGCUAAGUCUUGCGUGAAAUCUCGGGGCUCAACCCCGAGCGGUCGUGGGAAACUGGCAGGCUAGAGUGCGGGAGAGGAGAAUGGAAUUCCUGGUGUAGCGGUGAAAUGCGCAGAUAUCAGGAGGAACACCGGUGGCGAAGGCGGGACUCUGGGCCGACCCUGACGCUGAGGCGCGAAGGCGUGGGGAGCGAACGGG